UUUUUCCCAUUUUUAUUUUUGUCAAAAAUCAAAAUAUAAAGAUACCUCAAAAACAUUCUCUCUCUGCAGGACCUUCAACCUCUAUUGAUUUUUGUUGUCGCUCGCUCGAAGAGAGGGCUGUUUUGUAGUUGGAAUCUUCUGUUCGUUUCCCGAGAAAGCGGAAAGCUUAUAGGUAAGGGAAAACAAGAAAAGGCAAGAAAAUCUUGGAAUCUCACAACAUAUCAUCAUCACCUCCUUUUUAAUUCCAAUUUUUUCCUGUUUUUUCUUGGCAUCUGAACGGAUCGUUGCGCUUUCUUUUUUCUUUUUUAAAUUUUUUUAAUGUUCAUAAGGUUGAUUUUGUUGAUGUUGAUAGAUCUUUGAUACUGAUAUAUGUUGCCACGUUUAAGUUUAUUGAUAUAUGUAUAUGUUUAAUUUUGUUUAUGUGAUCUUGUAUCUAAUUUUGAUCUGAUUUUGGAAUUGUUUGGAUGGUUCUAUAAGUUUAUAGUUGUUGCUCUAUCUAUUGGGAUUUUGGAUUUGUUCAAUUGCUUUUGUAAAGUUUCGAGAUCAGACUGGCUGUUUUUAUAUAUGAAACUUAAUUUCAUCUUUCAACUGUAGACAUGAAUUUUUAGAUAGAUAAGAAUCGAUAUGUAGUCACGUGUAUUGGGAAGUUUAACGGUGGAAACUAACAUGUAGCCUAGCGUAGUCAAGGAACAUAUUGUGCACAAGCACUCUUUCACGUAGGGAGGAGGGUGUUCUGGGUGGGUAAGGAGAAUGAUUGUUGAAUUGCAGUAGUAGAGGGUGUUUGUGUACUCGAUGCUUGGCGUUAAGUCCUGAGCAUUGCUAGGGAGCAUUCUUUAUGUUUCAGAUGGAGGGUCAUACAACUUUGUAACAAGUUUGAUGCGAUAACAAGUGGGUUCAGCUUGGUGGUUAGAGUACUGCACCAUGAAUGCAGUUAUCUGCCAUCUGAUAUGACAUUCUGCCUUGACAACAGUAAAAGGAAAAGAUUGCAGAAGGUAGAAACCUUUGUUUUAAUGGGGCUGCGUCUCUUAAUUUUAUAAGAGUUGGGGUUCUGUAACAACGACACUUGCAUGUCCUGAAGUCUCAUCUGGGUUCUGCAAGGUGCCUUUUCAUAGCUCAUCCAUCAAAGUUAUAGGUCUUCAGUUAUACAAUUAGCCCAUCUUUUGCCUUGCACAUAAGGCAUUUUCAAUGGAUAGUUCUUGUUUAAACAUAAUUAUAUUUGGUUGAGAUUUUCUUUUUUAAUGUUUUUAUGCUUUCAACAUUUAUGUCUGGAGCUAGUUUUGUUUUCGCUUGAUGUGAUUCUUGGAACAUUUGAGUUAAACAUAUUGUAAAAUGUUUAAUUUGUCUUAUAAGGCAUGCUUUCCUUUGUCUUUGUCAAUAAAAGUCAGAUACAUGCUAUACAUUGAGUGUAGAUAUCUCUGCUGUGCUGCCUUGACAAUGUAUGACUUGACAAAUGUUCCAUUUUCCCCAGAGGAACACAAAAUAUUUGCCAUCUCUUAGAAUGUUGGUUGCAUUUCUUUCCUUUAAUGAUAAUCCCUUGAUAAAAAAAACUAAGGUCAUUCUACCUUUCCUGUUUUCAGCUUUUAAAUAUGCUUUUCAUGAUUAACCACAUCUUUAAGUUUCUUUAAUGACAAACUUGUUUUAAUUUUAUUUUUAAUAACAGAUAUACUAUUGAGUCCUCCAGUUUUUAAAAGUCUUGGAAUUUGUUCUUGGAGCAGAAGUGGGAAAUGGUUAACAGGUUCAUUCUAAUCAAUGCCUGCUCAUGGGCUCUAUCUUUACAUAUAAUGACCUGAAGAGCAUAUCUUAAGCUGCUAUUCUGUGUUGCACAGGUAUGGAGUGUUUUGAUUUGCAUAGAAUAUCAUGUUGCAGUGCAUAGAGGGAUUCAUUACUUCCCUACUGCGGUGUUGUGAUCUUGAUUUAUAUAAACAAUCAAGAGGCCUUGAAGACCCUGAACGUCUUGCCAGGGAGACUGUGUGUAUGCUACUGAUUAAGUGCUUAUGAUAAUAUUGUUAAUCCUUUAAUUUUAUUCAAUUAGUGGCAUCUUUUUAAUUUCUAGUUCUUUCUAUCUGUAAUGUUUAGAUUACAUGCCAUUGUGUUUUAAUCUGUGUUUUUCUACAGUUAUGUUUCUUGCCAACCCUACCCGUAUUGCAUGAUUAUAUAAGCAUUACAAGAAAAAACACUCAUUAGAAAUAUUAAUAUACGGAAUGUCUCAUCUGAUUCAGUUUAGUUAUACAAAUAUCUACUUAUUGUAAUAAUUCUAUUUUCAUCUCCCCAUAUAUAUAAGAGAUUUCGCUAUUUUAUUUUUGCUAGUAUAUUUAUAUUUCCAUUGAAAAUUGUUGGUUUUAUAAUUCUUGGUGCAGUCAGUGUGAGUGAAAUAGAGGCACUGUAUGAGCUCUUUAAGAAGAUCAGCAGCGCCGUGAUUGAUGACGGCCUGAUCAACAAGGAGGAGUUUCAAUUAGCAUUGUUCAAGACAAACAAGAAAGAGAGCUUAUUUGCUGAUCGGGUACUUUCCACUGGGUGUAUUUAUCACUCUUUACCUCCAAUUGUACCAGAACAAUUUUUUGUUCUAAUAAUGGACUACUGCUGCUGUCCCUGCUUUUGCUUAUUGAUUGUAGGUCUUUGAUUUGUUUGAUACAAAACAUAAUGGGAUCCUAGGAUUUGAAGAGUUUGCUCGUGCCCUCUCUGUUUUUCAUCCAAAUGCCCCCAUUGAUGAUAAGAUUGAAUGUAUGUUGUUUGAGAUUGACAAUUUUUCCAGAUCAUAAAUUCUUUUGUAUCGCUUGAGUUGAGUACAUCUGUUGUUGGUUUAUCCUCCUAGGAUGAUGAAAUGAAGCUUUACUUUCUUGGUGCUUUAUUCCUAUUUAUUUUGUGUUGUGGUGUUGCAGUUUCUUUUCAAUUGUAUGAUCUCAAACAGCAAGGUUUUAUUGAGAGACAGGAGGUCAGUAUUAUUGUUUCAAGAUUUUCUGACUUCAGUGAUUCUUGGACUCUUUUAGAUGUUCAUUAUUUAUUUGAUUUAUACAGUUAAGACUUUUAUCUACAUUUUAUUAAAUAGGUGAAACAAAUGGUAGUUGCUACUCUAGCUGAAUCUGGUAUGAACCUUUCAGAUGAUGUCAUCGAGAGUAUAAUUGACAAGGUGCCUACGCAUAUUAAUUCAAUGUUUCUUGACAAUGACUAUAAUCUUGGUUACAAGUUCGUAAGGAUUUCAACACUCCUUUCUGAAAGUAUUUGUUAGAAAGGGUUUUUUCCCCUGAAUUUUGGAGCUUUGUUUCAGACCUUUGAGGAAGCUGAUACAAAACAUGACGGCAAGAUUGACAAGGAAGAGUGGAGAAGCCUUGUUCUGCGCCAUCCAUCUCUUCUGAAGAAUAUGACUCUUCAGUAUCUAAAGGAUAUUACUACUACAUUCCCAAGUUUUGUGUUCCACUCACAAGUUGAUGACAUGUAAACUUGAGAUUUGCCAUCAAGUUCAAUAAAGUUUAUUAAUCAUGGCUUGUUUCUUCAUGGACAAAAAUGGCCCUAACAGAUGUAAAGGGCAAGAGAGAGAGAGUUUCUGCAUUGUAUUGGUUGUUCUUUCGACAGUUCUCAGUUGUGUAUAUUUCUAUUCAAUGACUGACCUUUUGCUUCCUUUUUGAGUACUUGUGGUUUCAUGGCCUUGCAGAAGGUCUGUUUUAUUUUUUCGUUCGUUAAAGGUGUUGAAAACAAUGGUGUGGUUUCCAUGUGUACAAGGAAGGAGUGAGGGUCAUGUUUUGUUGUGGAAGCAAAUAUUUACGCUGUGAAUUAGCCUUGGCCCCGUUGUAAGUGCUCCCUUCGAUAAAUAGAUUCCUGGCAAUUGGUGCCUCAGUCGC
rnacentral:misc_RNA from 1 species